UGGGGAAUUUUGGACAAUGGGCGAAAGCCUGAUCCAGCAAUGCCGCGUGUGUGAAGAAGGCCUUCGGGUUGUAAAGCACUUUUGUCCGGAAAGAAAUCCUUGGCUCUAAUACAGUCGGGGGAUGACGGUACCGGAAGAAUAAGCGCCGGCUAACUACGUGCCAGCAGCCGCGGUAAUACGUAGGGUGCAAGCGUUAAUCGGAAUUACUGGGCGUAAAGCGUGCGCAGGCGGUUUGCUAAGACCGAUGUGAAAUCCCCGGGCUCAACCUGGGAACUGCAUUGGUGACUGGCAGGCUAGAGUAUGGCAGAGGGGGGUAGAAUUCCACGUGUAGCAGUGAAAUGCGUAGAGAUGUGGAGGAAUACCGAUGGCGAAGGCAGCCCCCUGGGCCAAUACUGACGCUCAUGCACGAAAGCGUGGGGAGCAAACAGGAUUAGAUACCCUGGGUAGUCCACGCCCUAAACGAUGUCAACUAGUUGUUGGGGAUUCAUUUCCUUAGUAACGUAGCUAACGCGUGAAGUUGACCGCCUGGGGGAGUACGGUCGCAAGAUUAAAACUCAAAGGAAUUGACGGGGUCAUAGCUGUUUCCU
rnacentral:rRNA from 1 species